AUGCAGGUUGAAAUGAUAUCGCCGUAAUAGGACUGCGCUAUCAGCUUGUGGUGAGAUGCCCAGCUAUAACAGGUACGGGCUCUAAGAGGCCCGAAUGUACUGAACACGGACCCAAAGGCCCCUAUGGGGCGCAGCAGGCGAGAAACCUUUGCAAUGUGCGAAAGCACGACAAGGUUAAUCCGAGUGUCUCCUGCUAAAGGAGUCUUUGUCAUUGUAAAUCACUGGUGAAUAAGGGGUGGGCAAGUUCUGGUGUCAGCCGCCGCGGUAAAACCAGCACCUCGAGUGGUCAGGAGGUUUAUUGGGCCUAAAGCAUCCGUAGCCGGUUGCAUAAGUUUUCGGUUAAAUCUAUGCGCUUAACGUAUAGACCGCCGAAAAUACUGUGCAGCUAGGGAGUGGGAGAGGUAACGGUACUCGAUAGGAAGGGUAAAAUCUUGAUCUAUUGAAGACAACUG
rnacentral:rRNA from 1 species